rnacentral:lncRNA from 15 species
CAACUGUGUAGAAACACUCACAUUUUACGUAAGUAUUGCCAUCAAAAUAUACUUAAAGUACCAAAAGUCCUCAUUAUGCAGAGUUUCCCCCUAGUUUUAUUUUCUUUAUUAUAUUACAUCAUAAUUUCUUUGUUAAUAUAUUUUGUAUUAAUAAUCAAGUUACUAAAGUUGUCUAAUAAAUGUAGAGGAGUUAAAAGCAGGCUACACUUUUCCUUUUGAAUUGUAGUUGAGUAGAAGUAUAAAGUAGGAUGAGAUUGAACUAGUCCAGUAAAGUACAAGUACCAGAAAUGUAUACUUAAGUACAGUACUUGAGUAAAUGUACUUAGUUACAUUCCACCACGGUCCAAAACAGACAUGACAAAAAAAAGAUGUUGUGGGAAAGUGUCGACCUUCAGCCUCUAGUGGUUAUGUGUGCUGGUAGGAGUUCAAAUGACCAUACAAGUAAUUUUUUUUAAGAUUAUUCUUUGGCAGUUUUACUUUCUUUAGACAGUGACCGCUGGAGAGAGACAGGAAAGGCAGGAGAGAAAGGAAGGAAUCGAACACAGACUGCCGGGGUAAGGACUCAACCUUGACACAUGCUAUACCAGAGAGAGAGGAUCAAACCAGCCCCACUGGCCACACCUACCGACUGCAUUGUGCAAAAGAAGAGGAAGAGACUCCGGCGCUGUUGGCAGAGGAGCUGUGGACUGCGAUUACUUUGAGCAGCAUGCAUAGGAAUGAGUUACAAUAUACUGACAAUGAGACAUCCUUAAUUUCGAGCACUGUUACCUCGAUCCAGCAGAAAAGAAACAUUCUCUAUGGUUUUCUUUAAUGCUGCUUAAAAGAAGACACUGACUGUUAUGUACUGUACAGCCAACAAAAUAAGAGCCAAAGCAACAAAGCUCUUAUUUCUCUUGUUUCAGAUCCAUGGAGCUUUUUUCAGUGAAUCCUUGUAACAGCUUUGAAAAGAGCGGAGUGGACACAAUGACCAUUACUGUAAUGGGAUAAAUCCUUUUUCUGAUUGCUGAGAGGCUGCGAGUUCAAACAUGCACAUGAAACUCAAUAAAAGAGGAAUCUGAUGAAUCAUGCAUGUAACAAAGUGAUAUGAGCAUUUUUUUGCCGAAAAUAAUCCUGAAGUUGUUUUUCUGGGCAGCGCCACUGGUCUCCGCUGCACUAAAAAACAUUUAGAAACAUUUCAUGUUCCCUCACUGCCCUUUGGCAACACAACCAUCCCCAGUCUCCCCUAACAGAGCUGCAAAACUAAUGGUUUGGUUGCAUAAGAGAUUAUCUUAACUGUUCUUAUCUUUUCUCUGCCC